UGCCUUUUCUUUGAGUAGC
rnacentral:miRNA from 1 species